rnacentral:rRNA from 1 species
CAGCAGCCACGGUAAUACGUAGGUCCCGAGCGUUGUCCGGAUUUAUUGGGCGUAAAGCGAGCGCAGGCGGUUAGAUAAGUCUGAAGUUAAAGGCUGUGGCUUAACCAUAGUACGCUUUGGAAACUGUUUAACUUGAGUGCAAGAGGGGAGAGUGGAAUUCCAUGUGUAGCGGUGAAACGCGUAGAUAUAUGGAGGAACACCGGCGGCGAAGGCGGCUUUCUGGAUUGUAACUGACACUGAGGCACGAAAGCGUGGGUAGCAAACAGGAUUAGAUACCCGAGUAGUCCCUGUCUCUUAUACC